AAUAAUAAGUCUGAGCACAGCAACACACAAGCAAGUCUCAUCUUACGUGGGGGUUCCAUUCCACGGUUAGCGCGUAAAGCAAAAACUGCGUAUAGUCAAAAUUACAUUGAGUUGAAUGGCGGGCGGAAUUGCCCGCACUACAGAAAC